rnacentral:rRNA from 1 species
GAUGAACGCUGGCGGCGUGCUUAACACAUGCAAGUCGAACGGUGAAGCAGGAGCUUGCUCUUGUGGAUCAGUGGCGAACGGGUGAGUAACACGUGAGCAACCUGCCCCUGACUCUGGGAUAAGCGCUGGAAACGGCGUCUAAUACUGGAUAUGUGAUGUGACCGCAUGGUCUGCAUCUGGAAAGAAUUUCGGUUGGGGAUGGGCUCGCGGCCUAUCAGCUUGUUGGUGAGGUAAUGGCUCACCAAGGCGUCGACGGGUAGCCGGCCUGAGAGGGUGACCGGCCACACUGGGACUGAGACACGGCCCAGACUCCUACGGGAGGCAGCAGUGGGGAAUAUUGCACAAUGGGCGGAAGCCUGAGUCAGCAACGCCGCGUGAGGGAUGACGGCCUUCGGGUUGUAAACCUCUUUUAGCAGGGAAGAGGCGAAAGUGACGGUACCUGCAGAAAAAGCACCGGCUAACUACGUGCCAGCAGCCGCCGUAA